rnacentral:rRNA from 1 species
UACAGAGGUCUCAAGCGUUGUUCGGAUUCAUUGGGCGUAAAGGGUGCGUAGGCGGCGCGGUAAGUCGGGUGUGAAAUCUCGGAGCUUAACUCCGAAACUGCAUUCGAUACUGCCGUGCUUGAGGACUGGAGAGGAGACUGGAAUUUACGGUGUAGCGGUGAAAUGCGUAGAUAUCGUAAGGAAGACCAGUGGCGAAGGCGGUUCUCUGGGCAUUACCUGACGCUGAGGAGCGAAAGUGUGGGGAGCAAACAGG